rnacentral:rRNA from 1 species
UACGUAGGGUGCAAGCGUUAUCCGGAAUUAUUGGGCGUAAAGAGCUCGUAGGCGGUUUGUCGCGUCUGCUGUGAAAACUGGAGGCUCAACCUCCAGCCUGCAGUGGGUACGGGCAGACUAGAGUGCGGUAGGGGAGAUUGGAAUUCCUGGUGUAGCGGUGGAAUGCGCAGAUAUCAGGAGGAACACCGAUGACGAAGGCAGAUCUCUGGGCCGUAACUGACGCUGAGGAGCGAAAGCAUGGGGAGCGAACAGG